rnacentral:rRNA from 1 species
GAGUUUGAUCGUGGCUCAGAUUGAACGCUGGCGGCAUGCCUUACACAUGCAAGUCGAACGGCAGCAUGAUCUAGCUUGCUAGAUUGAUGGCGAGUGGCGAACGGGUGAGUAAUACAUCGGAACGUGCCCUGUAGUGGGGGAUAACUAGUCGAAAGAUUAGCUAAUACCGCAUACGACCUGAGGGUGAAAGUGGGGGACCGCAAGGCCUCAUGCUAUAGGAGCGGCCGAUGUCUGAUUAGCUAGUUGGUGGGGUAAAGGCCCACCAAGGCGACGAUCAGUAGCUGGUCUGAGAGGACGAUCAGCCACACUGGGACUGAGACACGGCCCAGACUCCUACGGGAGGCAGCAGUGGGGAAUUUUGGACAAUGGGCGAAAGCCUGAUCCAGCAAUGCCGCGUGUGUGAAGAAGGCCUCGGUUGUAA